rnacentral:misc_RNA from 1 species
GGAGCAAAAGCAGUGGCUGGUUGUUGCACACUUCGUAGAUUAAAGAGAUCCAUGUUUGUAGAAUUUGUGGAAGCAGAUAAAUGUGACGAGGGAAAGACGGAUGUCGAUCUCUGCUGAGUUCCAGGACCUUGCUCGGUCUCAAGAACAACAUCAAUUAAGCUACCUGAAUUGGGAUAGAGAGUGUUGCCAUCCAAGGAUCCAAAGCUGCUUGCAGAUGUAGUUCUCUGUGGACGUGGGAUCCCCUGAAUAUCCUUCUUGUCAUUUACUCCAGCGUGGGUAUUAAAUGUUCC